ensembl:antisense Gm15718 predicted gene 15718
ACAGCCUUCUUCACAAAAGGGUCUAAGAAAACACCCUAGAAGGUUAAAUUAUUUGACAUGCCCUUCAGAAAAAUACCAAGAGAAAGGUCUCAGCUUCAGACGUGACAAGAUCAAGAUGAAGAACUCUCAACUCCUCCAGCAACAAGUCUCCCUGCAUGCUGCCAUACUCUCAGCCAUGAUGCUCUUCUGAAACUAUAAGACAGCCCCCAAAAAUUAAAAAAAAAAAAAUCUAAAAACAAGUUUAAGUAUUUUACAUUCAAAAUAUUCAAGAGGGUUUCUAAUAUAAUAACAUGUUUUUGAAAAAAAAAAGC